rnacentral:rRNA from 1 species
CUUUAUCUUUAUAUAGAUAGAUUGUCCCAAGGGCGCCAUAUUCUAGGAGCCCAAGUUAUGCUAUUGAAAAUUCGUUCCUCUAGCAGUUCCGGUUUGAGCAUUCCGUUCCCUUUUUCAAACUCCACUUCUUUUCAUAUAGCAUCCCUGAUCAAAGAGAGAACAAUAUCCAUUUCAAAACAUUUCUAACAGAUUCCUUAGUUCGGACCGACGAAGUAA